rnacentral:rRNA from 1 species
GUCUCCGGCCACGGCACCCUGAACACACACCCAAUCCCGUCUGCCCUCGGACGCUAAGCAGGGUCGGGCUGGUCAGUCCUUGGAUGGGAGACCAGCUAGGAAGACCAGGCACUGUGGGCG